GGCCCGGUAGCUCAGCGGAUAGAGCAGCAGCCUUCUAAUCUGUCGCGCGUGGGUUCGAUUCCCACCCGGGCCGCCACCG
rnacentral:tRNA from 1 species